UACGAAGGGGACUAGCGUUGUUCGGAAUCACUGGGCGUAAAGCGCACGUAGGCGGAUUCGUAAGUCAGGGGUGAAAUCCCGGGGCUCAACCUCGGAACUGCCUUUGAUACUGCGGGUCUUGAGUCCGAUAGAGGUGGGUGGAAUUCCUAGUGUAGAGGUGAAAUUCGUAGAUAUUAGGAAGAACACCGGUGGCGAAGGCGGCCCACUGGAGCGGUACUGACGCUGAGGUGCGAAAGCGUGGGGAGCAAACAGG
rnacentral:rRNA from 1 species